rnacentral:rRNA from 1 species
GAUGAACGCUAGCGACAGGCUUAACACAUGCAAGUCGAGGGGCAGCAUAAAAGUAGCAAUACUUUGGUGGCGACCGGCGCACGGGUGAGUAACGCGUAUGCAACCUACCUAUCAGAGGGGAAUAACCCGGCGAAAGUCGGACUAAUACCGCAUAAAACAGGGGCACCGCAUGGUGAUAUUUGUUAAAGAAAUGCGCUGAUAGAGGGGCAUGCGUUCCAUUAGGUAGUCGGUGAGGUAACGGCUCACCAAGCCGACGAUGGAUAGGGGAACUGAGAGGUUGGUCCCCCACACUGGUACUGAGACACGGACCAGACUCCUACGGGAGGCAGCAGUGAGGAAUAUUGGUCAAUGGGCGAGAGCCUGAACCAGCCAAGUCGCGUGAAGGAAGAAGGAUCUAUGGUUCGUAAACUUCUUUUGCAGGGGAAUAAAGUGCAGGACGUGUCCUGUUUUAUAUGUACCCUGAGAAUAAGGAUCGGCUAACUCCGUGCCAGCAGCCGCGGUAAUAC